rnacentral:sRNA from 1 species
CGAUUCCACGUUGAGAGUGGGACGAGCACCCACGCGGGUUCGACGCGCGCAGCGCGAACAGCCGCAGGCUGGCCCCGAGCGUAAGCGAGCGGGUGAGGCGCUAAGCGUUGAAUCAUCCCACUCUCCCCGCCA